rnacentral:rRNA from 1 species
GCAGCGAUGCGCUUAGGGAUGGGCCUGCGGCGGAUUAGGUAGUUGGUGGGGUAACGGCCUACCAAGCCGAUGAUCCGUAGGGGGCGUGAGAGCGUGGCCCCCCACACUGGCACUGAGACACGGGCCAGACUCCUACGGGAGGCAGCAGUGAGGAAUAUUGCACAAUGGGCGCAAGCCUGAUGCAGCAACGCCGCGUGAGGGACGAAGGCCUUCGGGUUGUAAACCUCUUUUCUGAGGGACGAGGAAGGACGGUACCUCAGGAAUAAGUCUCGGCUAACUACGUGCCAGCAGCCGCGGUAAAACGUAGGAGGCGAGCGUUAUCCGGAUUUACUGGGCGUAAAGCGCGCGCAGGUGGCUUCGUUAGUCGGACAUGAAAGCUCCUGGCUUAACUGGGAGAGGCUGUUCGAUACUGCGGGGCUUGAGGUUGGGAGAGGGACGCGGAAUUCCCGGUGUAGUGGUGGAAUGCGUAGAUAUCGGGAGGAACACCAGUGGCGCAAGCGGCGUCCUGGCCCACACCUGACGCUGAGGUGCGAAAGCGUGGGUAGCAAACAGGAUUAGAUACCCUGGUAGUCCACGCUGUAAACGAUGUCAACUGGGUGUCGGUAGUUUUACACUAUCGGUGCCGAAGCUAACGCG